rnacentral:rRNA from 1 species
GAUGAACGCUGGCGGCGUGCCUAAUACAUGCAAGUCGAGCGGUAAGGCCCCUUCGGGGGUACACGAGCGGCGGACGGCUGAGUAACACGUAGGAACGUGCCCCAAAGUGAGGGAUAAGCACCAGAAAUGGUGUCUAAUACCGCAUGUGCUCUAAGGAGUAAAGCUUCGGCGCUUUGGGAACGGCCUGCGCAUGAUUAGCUUGUUGGUGAGGUAAUGGCUCACCAAGGUGACGAUCAUUAGCUGGUCUGAGAGGAUGACCAGCCAGACUGGGACUGAGAACGGCCCAGACUCCUACGGGAGGCAGCAGUAGGGAAUUUUCCACAAUGGGCGAAAGCCUGAUGGAGCAACGCCGCGUGCAGGAUGAAUGCCUUCGGGUUGUAAACUGCUUUUGUUAGUGACGAAUUUGACGGUAGCUAACGAAUAAGGACCGGCUAACUACGUGCCAGCAGCCGCGGUAA